UUCGGGGGCUGUAGCUCAGCUGGGAGAGCGCCUGAUUUGCAUUCAGGAGGUCGCCGGUUCGAUCCCGACCAGCUCC
rnacentral:tRNA from 1 species